rnacentral:rRNA from 1 species
AUUGAACGCUGGCGGAAUGCUUUACACAUGCAAGUCGAGCGGCAGCGCGGGGCAACCUGGCGGCGAGCGGCGAACGGGUGAGUAACACAUCGGAACGUACCCAAUCGUGGGGGGAUAACUAUCCGAAAGGAUAGCUAAUACCGCAUAAGUCCUGAGGGAGAAAGCGGGGGAUCGCAAGACCUCGCGCGGAUGGAGCGGCCGAUGUCGGAUUAGCUAGUUGGUGGGGUAAAGGCCCACCAAGGCGACGAUCCGUAGCUGGUCUGAGAGGACGACCAGCCACACUGGAACUGAGACACGGUCCAGACUCCUACGGGAGGCAGCAGUGGGGAAUUUUGGACAAUGGGGGCAACCCUGAUCCAGCCAUUCCGCGUGAGUGAAGAAGGCC